rnacentral:tRNA from 1 species
GAUGGUGUAGCUCAGCGGUAGAGCAGUUGGCUGUUAACCAACUGGUCGGUAGUUCGAAUACACCCACCAUCGCCA